GAAGUCCAGAGAGGCUUCAGAUGAAUCAACUCAGAAGCCUUCAAUGGAAAUGGCAUCUACACCAGCUGAUGUAACAGAAGAUGCGGUCUCGGGGCAACAGGAAACUAACGUGUCACCGGACUCACAAUCUCAGCCAACAGAACCCCAAGAGACACUAAAAGAUGAUGCGAAGACACCAGCUAACAAGUCCGAAAGGCAGCUGCCCACCCUACCUGCGCAGGUGAAGGAG